rnacentral:rRNA from 1 species
UCCAGACUCCUACGGGAGGCAGCAGUGAGGAAUAUUGGUCAAUGGGCGGAAGCCUGAACCAGCCAAGUCGCGUGAGGGAAUAAGGCCCUACGGGUCGUAAACCUCUUUUGCCGGGGAGCAAGGGCGGGGACGUGUCCCGGCCCGGAGAGUACCCGGAGAAAAAGCAUCGGCUAACUCCGUGCCAGCAGCCGCGGUAAUACGGAGGAUGCGAGCGUUAUCCGGAUUUAUUGGGUUUAAAGGGUGCGUAGGCGGGCUUUUAAGUCAGCGGUAAAAAUUCGGGGCUCAACCCCGUCCGGCCGUUGAAACUGGGGGCCUUGAGUGGGCGAGAAGAAGGCGGAAUGCGUGGUGUAGCGGUGAAAUGCAUAGAUAUCAGGAGGAACAUCGGUGGCGUAAGCGCUUUACUGGGCCGUAAUUGACGCUGAGGAACGAAAGCCAGGGUAGCAAAUGGGAUUAGAUACCCCAGUA